UUACACAAACAAAUGAGCCUCUAUGGAUCAGAACAGAUGGAUGCCUAGACAUUCUCAAUCUCAAAAGCUACGAGAGUGCAUUCCCAAUUCCCAAGAUUAAGUAGUCGUGGAGGAAAGAACCACAACCUUCGAGUGGAAGCAACUAGAUCUUUUUCAGUCGUUGCAGUAUCUAAAACGCUUGCGGUGGUUUCAGGUCAAAGCUGCAGAGCUUUUUCAGUCGUUGCAAUCACUUACAUUUGACAACAAGAAUGCUACAACAAUCUAUGAAUAUAAAAUAUACUUCAACUCUCCCUUUUAAUGUUACCACUCCAUUAAGAAGCUAUCUAGAAAUUUGUUACUUUAUAAUAUUAAAAAUUGAAAACUAAUCUACAUUUUCAUCUUUUUAUUAUUUAGAUCAAAUCUAUUAACAACACAUUUAACAAUUGAUAAAUUAUUUCUAACCAACAGUUUAUUUUCAAUCUAACCAAAUUCUUUUUACCAAACUUUCUUUGAACAUAUAAUAAAUACAUAAUAUAAUUCAAAAUAUAUAGAUUUUAUGAAAAAAUAAAAUAAUAAGAAUAAAAGAUGAAAAAUUCAUUUACGCUAUUUUUCAUGUUUCAUCAAAUGCACCUUAACAAAAUAAAAAGUGCUUCUUACAUACAAAAUUAUUUUUUGUUCCCCAAACUCAAGCAUACAUAAAUUAACAAGAAAAUGAAAAAUCACAACUAAUGAUUAAUAUAUAAGAAAAACAGAAAUCUAAUAAACAAAAAGUUUGUAAAAUGAAAAAAAAUAGUGAACAUACAAAAUAUAACUUGAACUUUGUAAAAUUAGUCAACAAUUAAUAAUUUAAUAAAAAUACAUAAUAUACUUUAAAAUACAUAAAUUUUAAGCAUACAUCAAAAAAUCAAAAAUAAUUAAAAGGGAAAGUUUAUUUAUGAUAUUUGUUUUUACGUUUAUCAAACCAGAGACAACAAAAAAAUAAAAAGGAGUGAAUCUUACAUAACCUUUUCUAUUUUUAAUCACCAGACUGAUGUUCUUAGAAAUUAAUAAGAAAAAAUGAUGGAUAAAACACAAUUUGAAGAACAAAUACUUAGAAAAAUAAAAAUAACCAACAUAAGGAGGAUAAAACAAUUACAAAUAUUGGAAAUACAUAAUAUAAUAAAAAUCCACUAUAUAACCCAAAUUAAAUAAUUUUCAAGAAUACAUAGGAAAAACUCAUAAAACCAAAAAUCAAAAAUAUUUAUGAUGAUGACAAAAAAAAUAUUUAUGAAUAUUGCUUUUUCGCGUUGAAUCUAACCAAGCGGAAAAAAAUUUAAAAGAAAAGUAUUGGAUCUUCUGGAAUUUUCUGUCUUUUAUGGUGGCAAAAUUCAAGAAAAAGGAAAUUAACAACAAACUAUUGGAAGACCACAACCAAGAGUUCAGAAAUAGUAUAAUAAAUCAGCAAUAAAAAUAAAAUAAAAUAAAAUUUCUGUGUCAAGUGUAGAAAAACUUUAGAACAGUUGCAUAGGAAAUGUAUGGUACCAAGCACAAUUUUAAGUCUUAUCAAAUAUCAGAAACACAUCCAAUUUCCUUACUGAACGAAUAAAGAAAAUGACAUGUUAAAUCAAAAUUUAAAUAAUACUAACACCUUUGAAAACAAACACGAUAAAACUAUAUGUAGAUAAAUCGCCUACCUAUAAUAAACAAAAAUUAAACGACCACAAAUACAUAUCCCGGCCAGUGAAAGUCUAAACAUUCAUGCAUUUCUUCUUAGUUAACUAAAUCAUAAGAAAUAAAAUGACAUAUUAUAGGGGUAAAAUGUCCUCUGAAAUAUGACAAAUAAAAUUUAUUCAUAUUCCAGCAAUACUCAUAUAAACACUUCCUUAUAACACAAGUUGAUUUGGUCAUAUUACACAUCCUUUAUAAUUCUUGGUUAACUUUAAUAACAUCUACUUAUUUUACAAAAUAUAAAAUCACAAAAGAAUAAUUGUUAAUAAAAUGAAGCAUAUUUUGAUCGGUAAACAUAAUGAAGUAAAGUAUUUAUUUAAUAACAGAUUUUUAAGAUUAUACCAUUUUACUAUUUAUUUUAUGUUUUAUAUUAAUUUUAUAUGUAAUCUUUUGGAAAGACCAAUAUGCUAACUAAAAUUAAAUUGGUAGGGAUGGACGAAAUCGACAACAGAACCAAGACCUUGGCCAAAGCCACAAGCGACUACGGGAGAAAAUAAUUUAUCAAGAGUCACAUCUUAAUCAUGAGUAAAGCCAUCAUGUAUAUAUUACAAACUAAUAUGGUUACUAAAAAUAUUUUUAUAAUAAUUAACUGAAGGCAUAGAAAAAUACUUUUAUAUCACACAUGUGGUGGAUGGUUCGCUGGCUGCACGAUGUGAGGUUAAAGGGGUACUACAUAUGGUCGUUAAUGGACACCUUCGAGUGGGAGAGAGGUUAUAAAAUGAGGUUUGGGUUCUAUUACGUAGAUUUCAAUGAUAACUUGAAAUGACACAUGCUGGAAAAUGGCUUAGUGAGUUUCUUGAUUCGAAAGAUUCUCUCCACAAAUGCUAUUUCGAGGGCCAUCGUGAGAAAGGAUAUGCUCCUAAGCUGUUUGACACACUAAAUAUUUGGAUCCUGAUAAUUGGCGUCUAACCUAUGCGAGCGAUAUCUGAAGAAAUUAUCAAAGUAUGAUAUGAUCAUCGUUCUAUAUCUGAAGAAAUUAUCAAAGUAUGAUAUGAUCAUCGUUCUACUCUUUUCGGAUAUAGUAUAUAGUAAAGCUUCAGCUAAUCAUAUAGUUUAUAAAAUAAAAAUAAGCAAUCAUAAAAAUAAUAAUUCAUUCAUACUAUAUAACCAUAUAUUUCUAAAUAAAUAUUUUUAUCUCAUAAUGCAUCUUACCGCUGAUAAUUCAUACCUUCUCAUAUUUUAUUAUGAAAAUAAAAUUUUAUAUAUAUAAAAAAAAGUAAAUAACAGAAAAUUAACGAUGCUAAUUGAUGGUAAGUAUUGAUGUGUCAAAACGUAGAUUGUAUAUCAUGUUGUUGAAAUCUUAUAAGAGAUUAUAUUCCAAUUUAUUUGGUUGUAAAUAUUAUCAUAACCUAUAUUAAUAAAAUUUUAAAACCUCAAUGACUAAAAAUGAAAAUUUCUUUGCAAAAAUAUUUGACUAAUAAAAAAUAUACAGAAAUGUGUAAAAUAAAUACAUAGUUUACAAUAUAAAUAUGUUUAAAAUUUCUGCAAACCAUGUCAAAGUUUUAGUAUUUCUGUAAUGAAAAUACAAAUAGUGCUAAUUUCUACCAAUGGGUCCUCCAAAUCUUGACAACAAAAACAUCUUGGUAGUUGAUCUCGAAUGGAACAUAGAAACAAUUAUGAAUUUCUUCCCCUAUCAUCUGAAAUCUUAUGCUUAAGAAUUAAGACCAAGCUAGAAAUGUUCUAGAGAUGCUCAUAUUUGUUCCUAAGAAACAAUAGAGUUUAUUUUACUAAAACCAAGUAUCACCCGGUAAUAAACUUAAGAAAUGAGACCGAUGAACACCAGGAACACCAUUUCCAAUCCAACUGGAUGGCUAAUCUUUUGAUUACCAGUUUUUCACCAAAGUUGACAUAUUAUUUUUUGAAAUUAUAAAUGCCUUACGGCUGGCGAGAACAUCAAAAAGAUUCAUAUACAUUAGUUGUUAGAUUCAAAUCAUUCAACUGAUAAUUGACAUAACAACUCAAUCAUGGUGAUGCCAUAUAAGUAAAAAUUCAAAAUAAAAAUUACUUACAAACAAACUAACCAACAACUUAAAUUAAUAAAAUAGUAUAUCUCAUACACAUCUCUUGCAAAGGUAAACCUAAAAUACAAAUCACAAAA